GGUCUUCAAGCUCUCGUGGGAGAGUGCCGGUCUGAAAAACCGGAAGGUAGGGUUCGACUCCCGGGAGACCACCA
rnacentral:tRNA from 1 species